UACGUAGGGUGCGAGCGUUGUCCGGAAUUAUUGGGCGUAAAGAGCUCGUAGGCGGCUUGUCGCGUCGUCCGUGAAAACCUGCAGCUCAACUGCAGGCUUGCGGUCGAUACGGGCAGGCUAGAGUUCGGUAGGGGAGACUGGAAUUCCUGGUGUAGCGGUGAAAUGCGCAGAUAUCAGGAAGAACACCCGUGGCGAAGGCGGCUCUCUGGGACGGUACUGACGCUGAGACGCGAAAGCGUGGGGAGCGAACAGG
rnacentral:rRNA from 1 species